rnacentral:rRNA from 1 species
UAAUACAGAGGUCUCAAGCGUUGUUCGGAUUCAUUGGGCGUAAAGGGUGCGUAGGCGGCGCGGUAAGUCGGGUGUGAAAUCUUGGAGCUUAACUCCGAAACUGCAUUCGAUACUGCCGUGCUUGAGGACUGGAGAGGAGACUGGAAUUUACGGUGUAGCGGUGAAAUGCGUAGAUAUCGUAAGGAAGACCAGUGGCGAAGGCGGGUCUCUGGACAGUUCCUGACGCUGAGGCACGAAGGCCAGGGGAGCAAACGGG